GGCUCGGUGGCCUAAUGGCUAGCGUGUUGGACUCCGGACCGAGCGGUCCGGGAUGGAGUCCUGUCCGGGUCA